ensembl:lincRNA
UGCUAGGACUGGACAGAAGAGAAGGUUGAGCAGGCUGACAGAUGAAGACAACCUCAUGCCUAGAAGAAUUGCAAGGGCAGACUUGAAUCUCAUGCUUCGGUCUCCUGAGCAACUCUGAAGGGCAAGUGUCUUCCGCACGAGCUAUGUCGACUGAGGAAACCCCAGUGGAGUUUCCAGGGUCCACCAUGGCACCUGCUUCUUCCUCCAAUAGAAGACAACUGAUUGUUUCUGGUCCCUUGGUCCCAUACCUUGUUGUGCUCUGGUGGGGAAUAGAUACCUAUUCCUGGAGUUUGGCAACAUUUCAUGGUAGAGAGAAAAACAUCCCAAGGAUCUGUACAUAAAUAGCUGGUGCACAUCGGUCUCAGGUGUAAACAGAAGGAAGUCCAAGGAAGCCAAGUGGGAAGAUCCUUGCUGGUUUCUCCCUCUGAGGAAGAAGGAAAAUGCCAUGACUCCCAGUAUGGCCUCUCUUGGAACCAUAUUUUGAGGUACCCUACUUCCUUCUUGAGUGUCAGCAGAGCAACUGUGGGACUGCCAUGAGAUUUGGUCAUUUCUAGGAGAGCGAAUGCCUUUUGCCUCUUUGAUGAGAAAACUAGAUGAGACAUUGUUUAGAAAUUCUUGAGCUCAGACUUUGGCAUUAUGACAACGUGUGUUCAAAUAUGCCCCAGCCACUUGCGAGCUGGGACCUAAAGCCGUGAGCUUCUGGUUGUUUAUCUAUAACAAGCGGAUCCCAGUACCUACCUCAUAGGGCUGCUGCGAGGAUUAAAAUAAAAUGCAUCUAUCAGCCAGCUUGCAGUGUCUGCACUUAGCAGGUGCUCAGGUGCAAUACCUUGAUAGUUUUGAUAGUUUGUGAUGUUUAUUCUGUUCCUCAUUAGCAUGCAUAUGUGUCUGUAUCUUGUCAAUAUAAGUCAAUAUUUUAAAAUGUGUGAGUCAGGGUUUUAA